rnacentral:tRNA from 1 species
GCUUUGAUAGUUGAAUAACAACAGCGGUUUUUCGGGUCGCAGGUUUUGGAUUAUGGGCCAAAUUGAAGCA